CUUAGCCAAUGAAUGAGCUUGCUCCGCCCCCAACUGGACAGCUGAAGGCAGCAGAGCAAUUGAUUCCCCUGUAAGUCAGAGGUGGGCAGCAGGAGCAGGUCAGUCCCUCCCACGAGGAGCCAAUGGGAAUGUGGGAGGAAGCGAGUGACACAGGGAUGAAGGGAAAGGAGGAUAAAAACGAGCGGAACAAGAGAAUCCUGAAUCUGACACUGGAGAUGAUCUAUCUGCUGACUGGAGAGCACUACAUCCCUAGGAAGAAGUCAGAUGAUGGGGGGGCCCUGCAUGCCCCUGGCUCCGUC